rnacentral:rRNA from 2 species
GCGGGGGGGUGCUUACCAUGCAGUCGAACGAUGAACCACUUCGGUGGGGAUUAGUGGCGAACGGGUGAGUAACACGUGGGCAAUCUGCCCUGCACUCUGGGACAAGCCCUGGAAACGGGGUCUAAUACCGGAUACUGACCCGCUUGGGCAUCCAAGCGGUUCGAAAGCUCCGGCGGUGCAGGAUGAGCCCGCGGCCUAUCAGCUUGUUGGUGAGGUAAUGGCUCACCAAGGCGACGACGGGUAGCCGGCCUGAGAGGGCGACCGGCCACACUGGGACUGAGACACGGCCCAGACUCCUACGGGAGGCAGCAGUGGGGAAUAUUGCACAAUGGGCGAAAGCCUGAUGCAGCGACGCCGCGUGAGGGAUGACGGCCUUCGGGUUGUAAACCUCUUUCAGCAGGGAAGAAGCG